UAACACCAUAUUGUCAUGUAAGCAAAGAGAAAUAAAUUGAAGUUUAUGGAAAAAAGUAAACUAAACUGGCGUAGUCAGUUAGAUGAAAUGAUUGUGAUUUGUCAGUUAUUAUGUUAAAUAUUUUGUGCAGUGUUUUGUUAAAAGUUGGGUUUAUCGCUAUAUAUAAAAAAUUGACUAUUGAAACUUUUUUUGGAUGUUAUGGAUAAUAUUUACCAAGUAUCCACAAACCCACUCUUGAGGAUGUAGCAGUCAUUUGUUCUGCAGCUGCAAUUUAAGCAUCAUGUGACCAACUUUCUGUCAGUGAUGAUGAUGAUGUCACAAAAAUACCGUCUUUGUGCAUUUUGUGUAGGGAUGC